GAAUAAUUUGCUGACCCCGAAUUUAAUGGAAUCUCUCCUCACCCCCACCCUAGAUUGGGUGGCCAAAAAAUCGCAAGGUUUGGCAAAGACACCGAGACACCUGCUGCAUUUGAGCUGAAACAAAUAAGUAAAAUGUCGAUUUAAUGAGGAUUCAAGCUAUGUAGCCCCAGAGGAAGGAAGUGGGACUUUUAAAAUAAAGAACGUCAUCUAUCCUCUGCCACAGACCGGAACGCCGUGGUGUCUCAGCACCAGCCCAAGCACUUUGGAGAGCUUGUUGAAUCCGAUCCUGAACAGUAGGAGACCUUAAGGAAAAGAAGGACCAAGCCUGGAUGUUGCCACUGUUGAAUCUCCAGUACUCAUUCCGGUUUUAGAAGAGACCAGACCCUCAACACAUACGUGCUGGUUGAGGAAAGAGAGUCCUUCUGAGUACCAUAGGAAGAGAGUCUAGGGAGAAUGAUGGUCCCAAGAGAUGGUCCUUGGCAAGCUGGUUCUGUAGUGAAAGAAGACUGGAAAUGACUGCCUACCACUGCCCUCACGUGAAGUUUCUCACUCAUUGGGAACCAAGGUUUGGGAGAAUCAAGGAAGCAAUUUGUGAUGAAGUCUUUGUUAUGACACAGACAGGCUCCUGGGGGAAGGAGGAAGCCACAAGAUGGCCCCAGAAUUAGACAAUCCUGCCCAACAUUCGUGUGACUUCUCCGUCUCCAGUUCUUGACAGACGAUCAGGAUUAGUCGCCAGGAGAACUGACUGUGGUUCUUUAAAGGAGCAUAUAAUUAUAAUGCUUGGUACUUAAGGGAUGUCUUUUAUUUCAAGCUCUUUCAGCACCUAAGGAGUUUUAACUCCAUAAUCUUGACAGCUUUUCAUUACAUUACUUUUUUUCCAUUAAAUUGUACAAGGACCUACUUGAACAACAUUUUUAAAAAGCUCUCUAUUAAAAAAAAUGUUCAUCUACUUUUUGCUCAUCUCUAUUUCUUCCGUGACAAUUUGCUAGAACUUUAAUUACCCUACUAUGUGCUAUUUGCAGUUCAGGACAUAUUGCACUCAUAUAGUGCUGAACACAUGGUAUGUACCUUAUAAAUGCUUGUGUUGUUAUAGUUUAAGUGUUAAGCCUAUUUUAUUAUUCUACCCAGUCAUUGCUAUAGGCAAAAUGUGUUGAGUUAGUUAAGGAAUUUUUAGUUGUUGGAACAUAUUACAGGACAUUGGGAUAUGUUGAAGAUGACAAGGUCAAAGGUGCAUGAUAGGCCUCAUCAGGGCCUGGAACCAGGAACCCAGAAACCCAGGACCUGAGACUACUUUGUCCACCUCUGCUGGUUUCAUUUGGCUUGUCACCUGUUUCUCUCUAUAUAGGUCAACUUCCUGUCUUUGUGGUCAGCUUUUCUAUGUCUAUUAUUGCACAUGUCUAUUAUUCAAACUACUGUAGAUACAAACAUACAUCCACCAAUGUGUCCUCAUAAGAAGAUCUUAGGAAGGAAAAACUGAUUGGUCCAAUUUAGAUCAUGUGCUCCCGUUUGCUCCAAUCAGCUGAAGACAAAGAUGAAGACUCACACAUUUCACAAAUUAAGAAAAAGAGUUGAUGGUGCAGCUGCUUUGAAAAACAAUUUAAGAAACUUGUGGCAGUUUCUCAAGUCAUUGAACAUAGACUUACCACAUGACCCAGCAAUUCCGCUCAUAGGCAUUAAUAAAAAAACCCAAAAAAACAAAAAACAUUCAUCCACAUAAAAUUUGCACAUAAAUGUUUGCAAUGGCCAGUAAGUGAAAAGAACUCAAAUGUCCAUCAACUGGUGAUCAGAUAAACAAAACGUGGUAAAGCCAUGCAACGAAACACUAGUGGAUAAUAAAAAGGAAUGAAGCACUGAAACACGCUACAACAUGGAUGAACCUCAAAAGCAUGAUGUUAGGUAGAAGAAGCCAGAUGUAAAAGAUCAUAUAUUUUAUGAUUUCAUUUAUUUAAAUGUCCAGAAAAGGCAAAUGUAUAGACAUGGAGUAGAUAAGCGUUUGCCUGGGACUGGAGUGGGAAUGGGAAAUAACUGUAAUGGGCACAAGGUUUCUUUCCAAGGUGAUGGGAAAGUUCUAAAAUUAGACGGUGGUGAUGGUUGCACAACUCCAUAAAUAUACUAAAAGCCAUUUAGUUGUAUAGUUUCAGUGGGUAAAUUUCAUCAUAUAUACGUUAUUUCUCAAUAAAGCUGUUAGGAAGGAAGGAAAGAAAGAAUGGAGGAGAUUUGGAAGAAAUGGUUUACAUUACCCAUGGAUGGGUUCCCUUCCAGUUGCCCCGACCUGCAAGGUGAAUUACUGCCUCUGUGUCAUUUUUUGUAUCAUUUGUUUUGCCGAUACUAUCCUCCCCUCCAU